GCCUGGGUAGCUCAGUCAGUUGAGUGUCUGGCUUCGGCUCAGGUCAUGAUCCCACAGUUUGCGGGUUCGAGCCCCGUGUCGGGCU
rnacentral:tRNA from 1 species